CGCAUGGCCUGCGCGCACGCCAACCUUUGCGUGCAGCCUGACUCUCACGCCGCCCACGCCGGCCUCGUGCCGCUCGUGCCCGGUGCUCGUGUCGUGCUGGGUCUGCCGGGCGGGCGCGCGGACGGCGGCGUGCCCCCCUCGCAAGCCGUCAGCUGGCACUCGUUACGGCCCGGCUGCGGCCGCCUCGACGUCUCGCUCUGCGCCGCCGGACCCACGCGCCUCGUGCGUAUACACGACCACGAACAUCCGGAUUCGAAUCGCAUCGAGGGCGAUGGCGAGGAAGAGGAGGAGUACGGAGCGGGGGCGGGGGCGGGGGCGG